GCUGUGAGUUCAGCCGCACUGAGCCCAUUGAGCCCUGUGGAUGGGACCGGGAUGUGCACACUGUACAAAAGAGCAGAGGCACACAGGAGCUCCCUCAGUACAACAGGAUCCCGCUGUUUGUUCAAGCUGCCCUGGGACUUUGCUCGGUGUCUGUCUGCGUGCUGAUCAAGGUCGGCUGUCGGCUCGUCUGAGAAGUGGCAGCGGCAGAAAUGAUCAUCAGACUGGGAAGACUGACACCCGGAUAUUUCCGUCUCCUCCAGCGGCAGGUCUCAGGUGAGGUCCGCAUGCAGCCACAAAGCAGCUUCAUCAAUCCCAUCGCCAUGACGAUGGCCACGGUGGGGACAGGAGUGUCCCUGUACAGCGCCAGGCAGAUGGCGGACAGGGUCCCUCUCAAGCAGCCGGCGGCCUGAGAGGACGAGCAGAGAGACAGAUGGAGGUGGAGACGAAGAUGAUGAGGAUGAGUGCAAGCUGCGUCGAGUCACCGUGGUUACAGCACAUUCACCAGACGGCUGCCCGGCUCCUCACCUAAAACACAGCACAGGCAGGCUGGACGACAGGUUGUUGUGUGAGAGGUUGUGUAUUUUUGUAUGUUGGAGAGAGUGUGUGUUGGAGGGUGUUGAGAGAAUUUGUAUUUGUACUGUUGAUUGGAGGGAAAUGUAAGUUUUUUGUUCUAUGGUUUGAGGAAAAUGUCAGUGUGACUCAUUGUUCAGACCCCUAAAUAAUACUUUCUUGAAGUUUUGACCACUUUCUGCAUAUUUGACAUGGAAAACUCUUAAACACCUUUAAGUGGACUACAAAUUUCACUAAUGAUUGUAUUUUUACUGCAGCAAAAUAGACAUCAGAGCACUUCCCAACAAGCACCUCAACAUUAAAAUUUCACCUGCAACCCUUACAAUGCUGACAAACUUUUUACAACAAAAUUAAGUACACACAAAUAUUCAUUUAUGUAUUUCACUUACCUUAAUAGCAUUGGUUACCUUGUUGUGCUUCAGCACCUUAAUGUUUUGGAUUAGACUGCACAUUCUAGUACAGAUUAUAAACUACAUGCCAGAGCAAAAAUCACUCACUUUCUCAUUUCUUACUACUUGCUAAGCUGUUUUAACCAGUGCAUAGCUAAUUUACUAAAUUACAUCACCUAUAUUUAUAACUUUAAUUAGAUGUUGGCAAUAGGUUCUAAUGAAUGAAAUGGCACUAAAAGACAGUUGAAUAAUUUACUUUGUCUGCACACUGGCAUAUUUGUUGAUCUGAUGCAAUGUAUUCGCUAAUCAUUAAUUUCUCAAGUAAAUAUGCCUGUGUUGUUGUCAUCUGUGCACAGACUUCUGCAUAUUAACGUUCUGACAUAUUGAUGCAACAUUAAAACACUACUAUGUGUCUAAAGCUCUAUCCAUGUGGAAAACGCCGUGGAGGCAGACACUGUCAGAUUGCCGGGCCGCUGCACAGACUGUAUGGAGAAACUGAUGAAAGUGGUUUCACCGUGAGGCUCUGAUGUGAGUGAAACGCCAUGAGGCAAAUCACAUGCUCCUCUUUGGCUUUGUCUUCCCUGCACCUCACUGGUACAUGUACAGAGUGGCCAGAGGAUGGUUUAAUUAAUCAGUCUUACACUGAGUGGCAUUUGUCUCCACACGCAUGGCUGCUGAUGCAUAUGCAUUUCAUGAAAGAAACGGCGGUUUGGAGCCUUGCUCGAGGGCACUUUGACAGUCUCUACAUCCCAACUAAUCUGCUGCUUCCACUGCUCCACUUUACUGUAAAAGGCACGUGACGCUAGUAAACAGACUGCAGACUUGUGUGUCCAUUAGCCUCCAUAUUCCUUCAGGAAGCUCCGGCAGACAGCAGACAGCAGAGGAGGCUCGAUGCUGUGGGAACCAGCCAUGUUUAAAAAUGCACAGUGUCUAAUAAAACAUUGUAAUCCUU